AAUUCGAUGCUACAACGAACGUAACCUUUACCGAGGGUUUUGACAUACAAGUAGUGGGGAAAGGAAACUGGACCGACCCUUCGGGGAGCUUUGUACAGGUGCUGCAUGGCUGUCGUCAGCUCGUGUCGUGAGAUGUUCGGUUAAGUCCGCUAACGAGCGCAACCCUCGCUGUGUGUUACAAGUGUCACACGGAACUGCCGGUCAUAAACCGGAGGAAGUGGGAUGACGUCAAGUCAGCAUGGCCUUUAUAUCCUGGGCUACACACACGCUACAAUGGGAAGGGACAAUAGGUUGCGAAGCCGCGAGGCGGAGCCAAUCCAGCAAAACUUCCCUCAGUUCAGAUUGCAGGCUGCAACUCGCCUGCAUGAAGUUGGAGUUGCUAGUAAACGCAGGUCAGCCAUACUGCGUUGAAUACGUUCCCGGGGCUU
rnacentral:rRNA from 1 species